UACGUAGGGGGCGAGCGUUGUCCGAAUUUACUGGGCGUAAAGCGCGCGUAGGCGGGUAUGCAAGUUGCGGGUGAAAUCCCGAGGCUCAACCUCGGAGCUGCCUGCAAAACUGUAUACCUUGAGGUAUGGAGAGGGAAGUGGAAUUCCUGGUGUAGCGGUGAAAUGCGUAGAUAUCAGGAGGAACACCCGUGGCGAAGGCGGCUUCCUGGCCAUAUUCCUGACGCUGAGGUGCGAAAGCUAGGGGA
rnacentral:rRNA from 1 species